rnacentral:misc_RNA from 1 species
AUUAUUUUGAAUAAAAAUAAUUCAUUUUAUUUUUGCGAAAAAUAGUGUUCCAUUGUAAUACUAGCUACGCCACUGCAGAGCGAUUGUCACGCUUGUAGUCACAAAACCGGUUUUGAUUCCCGGCUUGUUUUAUUUUGAUCUUUUGAGCGUAGUAUGUGGGAACCAGUCUAUGUAAAGAAAAACUCGAGCACACGUGUAACGCUCUCAGUCGAAUUUUCACAAGACAGAAGUCUAGUACGACACUCUAAACUUUAAAAAAUUCAAACUCGAUCUUGUUUGCUAAAUAUGCCACGUCGCGGGCGAGAGAGAAAACGACCACCACAGCGUGAGGUAAAUAGAAGAGAGCACGCACCAGUGCCGGUAAAUAGACGAAUGCCGGCGCCGGCUCCAGAAAUUAGAAGGACGAGAGCACAAGCUCGUGUUCAACCGCCAGCAUCAGCACCAGCACCAGUACCAGUACCUGAAAGACCUGACACUGAUGACGAACAAGGCCUAGAGGCGGCAGGAAGAGUCCCACAACCGAGGAACGCCGGGCGGGGCACCCCGUCGGCGGAUGACUUGAACCGGGGCCGGAAGCGAAGGUCAGAUGAUGCAGAGCUGGACGAUUUUGGCAAUGAUCCCUUGCUACAGAACGAUACCGGUAGGUGCCCUAUUAUAGAUUUUGAACAAUUAAUGCAGGAAUCACAAUUUAUUAACACAGGUUCUACCAGAAACCAUGAAGUUCCAGGGAAUACUUGUCAAAUAGGGUGUGGCAAUGCUAACGUGGCGAAUGUUAAUGUACCGAACCAUUUAUCACAAUUUGCAAGGGAUACCGUGUCGAGUUCUAUUACCUGUUUACCUUCAGUCCGCACGGCUGAUGAUGAUAUUGCAGCGCACGUGCCAGCUAUGUUGAAACAAAAAAAUUGUAGGGGCGAAUAUGUCAAUUUAGCGUUAUUAUUGAAGGGCGCAAUUGAACUUUUAGAUUAUUGCAAUGGAACAGUAGUUAAAUUUAGCUCAGACGGUCGGGUUGAAACGGCACAAAAAGAAUGUAGGGAGAAAAUUGAGGAUAUUGAAAAAUGGACGAAUGCUUUCAUUAUUUAUAUGUCCAUCUAUUUGUCAACUCACGCGGACAAAGUGUAUGAAAUGUUGCAUUACAUGUUUAAUAUCAGAGAAAGCGCUAUUAGAAAUGGUGGGUUCAGCUGGCGGGAAUAUGACCAGCAAUUUCGUUUGCGCCAGGCCAUUUCUCCUUCAUCCUGGUCAAAGAUAAAUAACGACCUCUGGUGGCGCUGCAUGCAAAUGCGACCGGUCCUUAAAAUUGCUUCAAAUCCAUACAGGUACACUUGUAAUGACUACAAUAAAGGUACAUGCUCAUGGCCUAAUUGUAGGUUUGCCCAUUUGUGUGCAAAAUGUAACGCACCACACCCAGAAAUCAAUUGUGUAAGGUCAGGCGCAUCAGGAAAUCAGUUUCGAGCACAAACACACCAAAGCCAAAACGCAUUUCGCGGAAGGCCUUUCGCUAGGCGCGGCUCAUUUAGAGGAUCAAGAAAAAAUUAAGGCAUGCACAUCUCGGACAAAAGACGUUGAGCGGGUCACCCCGCUAACGUCUCCUAGUCAUCUGGAUAUUCAUAAUUUAGCCAAAACUCCAAUAAAAAUCACAUCUUUGAAGCAUUAUUUAAAAUUUUACGAUCAGGCUGAGGCAGAUUUUAUUUUAAACGGUUUUACACAUGGUUUUUCUAUCCAAUAUACAGGUCCGCGUUUUCCUAGAGAUGCUAAGAAUUUACGAUCUUCGUUGUUGAAUACAGAAAUUAUCAAGUCCAAAAUUAAUAAAGAAAUAGAAGCAGGCAGAGUUGCCGGUCCUUUCUCAGAACGUCCGCUGCCAAAUUUGAUUGUUUCACCUAUUGGUCUUGUCCCUAAGAAAACACCCGGAGAUUAUAGGAUGAUUCAUCAUCUAUCAUACCCUCCGGGCGAAUCUAUUAAUGACUAUAUUGAUCCGGCAUUGUGUUCGGUUCAGUACACUAGUUUGGACGAGGCGGUCAAGCUAGUCCAAGAUCUAGGUCAAAACUGUAAAAUGUUUAAAACAGAUAUUCGCAGCGCUUACAGACUGAUACCUAUUACACCGUCAGACUUCGAACUACUUGGUUUCUGUUUUUCAGGUAAUUUCUAUUUUGAUAAAGCACUACCUUUUGGUGCAUCCAUUAGCUGCAUCACUUUUGAGAGGUUUUCAAGAUUUUUAGAAUUUUGUGUAAAACGAAAAUUAGAGUCAGGUGGGCUUAUUCACUUUCUGGAUGAUUUCUUAGGGGCGUCAAAAAAUUCAGAAAUGUGUACCCGUGCUUUGGAAAUAUUUAGAGACACUAUGUCUGAUUUAGGUGUCCCGUUAGCGGAUGAAAAAACGGAGGGCCCUACUGAGAUACUCGUUUUCUUGGGUUUGGAAUUAGAUUCAAUACAGAUGACGGUUAGAAUUCCUGUAUCGAAAAUUCAGGAAGUUAUUAAUAAGAUCACUGAAAUGCUUCCCCAUAGGAAUACAACACUGAAAAGGAUGCAGUCUCUCAUAGGUUCUUUGAAUUUCUGCUGUCGCGCAAUACCUAUGGGCAGACCAUUUUCACGCCGUUUGAUAAACUCUAUUUGUGGGUUAACAAAACCCUAUCAUCAUCUACGGCUAAAAAAUGAAAUCAAAUUAGAUCUGAAAAUGUGGCUUACUUUCUUAAAAGACUUUAACGGUAUCUCAUUAUUUCAUGACAAAUUUUGGGUCUCGAACGCAGAUGUGCAACUCUUUUCAGACAGUGCAGGUGGUGAAGGUCUUGGGUUUGGCAUAUACUUUAAGGGUCAUUGGUGCCAAGCUAAAUGGCCUUCAGACUGGCACGAGUCGGGCAUAACCACAGACAUUACGGUUCUGGAACUUUUUCCAAUCAUGGUAGCAUUAUUUAUAUGGGGCUCCGAGUUAGCGAACAAAAAGCUCAAAUUCAACUGUGAUAAUAUGGCAGUUGUUCACAUUUUAAACAAACUGACUUCAAAAUCUGAAAAGGUUAUGUGUUUGGUUAGACUUAUAACAUUGAGAUGUUUAGAACUAAACAUAUGGUUAAAGGCUACUCACGUCCCAGGUAGUAAUAACGACAUAUGCGACUCUUUAUCUCGCUUUAAUUUACAGAGAUUCAGGGACUUGGCACCAGAGGCGGAUCCCGAACCGCAUCAAAUACCCAGUUUUCUAUGGCACGUCUUCGAUUCAGAGCUAGACAGCUCCUCGACACAGCUGUAGCGCAUAAUUCAUUACUGACGUAUCAUACGGCGGUGAAUUCAUUCGAAAGAUUUAGAUCAAACUAUACAUUUCCAAAGUUGUGGCCGAUCCCCGUGUCCCAUGUCUUACUUUUUCUAGCCAACUGUUUUGAAAGAGGGUUGUCCCCUAAAACAAUUGCAACUUAUUUAGCAGACGUAUGGAUCUUAGGGGAUUCCAUUCCCUAUUGGGCUGGAGUUCGUGCCAUGGCUACUGGCAAACCCAAUUUGAAAUUAAAUGAUGUGAAGAUAGGCUGGUGGGGUGUGAGAGGUCUUGGCUGGCAGGGAUUUAGACACCAAGUGGAAUCACAAGUCCUUCUAUGCUCACCACCAAGAAUGAUCAUAAUCAAUCUAGGUGGGAAUGAUUUAGUUUACCUAAAAACACCAGCUAUCAGGGAAAUCAUUCAAAGGGAGGUAACCUACCUUAGAGAUGCUUUACCAAAUUCAGUUAUCAUUUGGAUAGACAUUCUCCAAAGAAAGUCAUGGAGGGGGACCAAUAUGGGCUACAAACCUAUUGAACAAAAAAGGAAAAGACUAAACCGUUUAGCACGCAGGAUUGUUCUAGAAUCGGGCAAUGGAGACUAUGUAUCUCCAGAUAUAGACGAUAAAACUAACUUUUUUCGUGCAGACGGUGUGCAUUUGAAUGAUGUAGGCUUGGAAUUUUACUUAGACUACGUUAAGGACAUUAUUGUAAAACAUAUAUCCUAAUUAAAAAUAAAUUCAUAAUAAAUGAAUAAGUUACUGAAUAGUAUAUACGUAUUAAACUGGCUUCUUGUUCAAUUUUGUCGGUGUAUGUGUCAUACUUUUACUUUCCUUACUCUGCGAAUAAGUGCUCAGAAUUUUGGGGGAUAAAUUGGCGUCAAUUUAUUGUGGCCGAAAAAAUUCUGUCGAUCGGAGGGUGACCGAAUGUGUUAUAUUUUUGUUAAAAUCUGAAUGUUAGUAGUCGCCAAAAUUAAGAUCAUGAAUCUAAAUGUUUCUCGGAUUCAGGUUUCUGAUCAGGCGCCGGGCACCCGCGCGGGUCGGGGAUCUACAAUCCGGGUAGCGCGAAAUAUUUUGUCCGGUGGCUAAUGCGUGGAUUACAUAGCUGUUAACGUAGUAUUGCUGUUGCCGUAGUAUUGCUGUUGUUGUUUUAUGGCUGCUGACGUAGUAUUGCUGUUUAUAAUUGCUGUAUCAGUCCGACGUUUGCAUAAUAAUGUUGUUGCAUAGGUAUUGUCCUAGUACUGAGACAAUAUCUACUUAGCUUUGCCUGAUGAAAUCAUAGCCUUUGUGUCCGUUAUAGUUGGCCUGGGUGAUACCAAAGUGUCGCAUCGGUAUUAAACUAGCAUCGCGUUGCUUAGCUGUAUAGUGAACCGCUCCAA